rnacentral:tRNA from 1 species
GAACGUAUGACUUAGUGGUAGAGCUCUUGAACGGUUUUCAGAAGGCGCUGGUUCGAGUCCCGCUACGUUCA